rnacentral:rRNA from 1 species
AUUGAACGCUGGCGGCAUGCUUUACACAUGCAAGUCGAACGGUAACAGGCCGCAAGGUGCUGACGAGUGGCGAACGGGUGAGUAAUGCAUCGGAACGUGCCCAGUCGUGGGGGAUAACGCAGCGAAAGCUGUGCUAAUACCGCAUACGGUCUAUGGAUGAAAGCGGGGGACCGUAAGGCCUCGCGCGAUUGGAGCGGCCGAUGUCAGGUUAGGUAGUUGGUGGGGGAAAGGCCCACCAAGCCAACGAUCUGUAGCUGGUCUGAGAGGAAGACCGGCCACACUGGGACUGAGACACGGCCCAGACUCCUACGGGAGGCAGCAGUGGGGAAUUUUGGACAAUGGGCGCAAGCCUGAUCCAGCAAUGCCGGGUGCAGGAAGAAGGCCUUCGGGUUGUAAACUGCUUUUGUACGGAACGAAACGGCGAGCUCUAAUACAGUUUGCUAAUGACGGUACCGUAAGAAUAAGCACCGGCUAACUACGUGCCAGCCGCCGCAGUAA